AUCAUACUGACCUUUGGUGAUGUAAUUCUCUGAGUCAUAAGAGUGAUCAUGACCUAUUAGGUUGUUGUGAAAUGCUCUCCAUUCAGCUCAUUCAUAGGAAAACACAACUACUACUAUAUAAACACUGGGAUACAGCAGCAGCACACUUGCAACAUUGAUUAAAACCAAUCGGUUUGGCUUUUUAAAGGAAAUAAUUUGCCAAAUACAAUUACUGAGUUACUGCCAAUUAGGGUAAAUUAUAGUAAAAGUUAUUUUAAAUGGUUUAAUAGCCACAAACUGUUCUUCAUUUGCAAUUAAAAAAAAUUUACGUUUUCUGUGGUUUUACGGAGUACAGAAGAAGCCAGAUGUUGCUCCACACUGCCAGUCAGCUGGCUGAAAGACAUUCCCUUGCUUACAUAUGGCCGUUUAUGUGGAAACUAAACAAGUGUUCAUCUCUUUCUCUAAUUCAACGGUUUUACAGCCGCAGUUUGAGGUCGGGGAGCAGAGUUUCUGCAGGUUACAGCAACUCAGAUUUAAGGCUUUUUAAGACCUGAAUCACAGCAGGAACGUACAAAACAAAAUUUUAAAUGUAGUAGUGCUGAGCAUUUUUGCACAGAAUGAACGUGACAGUAAGCUAACAGCAAAAACGACCGGCGUUCGGCCGACUGACGAUAAAUUUACACUUACCCGUAACAGACGCAAGCAAGCUAGCUCGUUAGCAAGGGUGUAUCAGCAGCUUGUAAGCAGUAGCCUCAACCACUUCAAGUCACAGAAUGGGAUGAUGUUUGUGUGCAUUUCAAAUGUUUAUGCGACAGAGAAGUCCAGCACCAGUACAUAUGCUACACAUGAUUUGCAAGAUUAAACAGUUCUGCCACUACAACAUUUAAGACCUGUGAUUAACAUUCUUAAGGUCAAUUUACUCUUUUAAAAAUGGAGUCAAGACAUUUUAAGGCCUUAAUUUUUGACAUACGAGUUUAAGACCAACUGCAAAGUUAUUCUAUAAGGUGAAGCGCAGCAAUAAGGUAUCGUACUCCAUGCAAAACGCACUGAAAGCUACCAAAAUCUAGCAUAAUUCCAUGGUUCAUAAAGCAAACAUAAAUACUUGUGGUAGCAUUAUUAUAAAAGGAUUAAGCUAUAAUAAAGAUUAUUAUAGAUAUUAUGGCAGCAGUAGGUAUAACUAAAGCUUCCCUGUUUUAAAUAAGAGAAUUUGAAUCAUGUUUUACAUUUUCUUUUAAAGUAUUUUCACUCAUGUUUCUCACACUGCGCCAAUAGAUUGCUCCAUAUUCAAACUUUGUAUGAGGAACUUUGAGGUUGAAUCAAAGGCUAGCAGACGGCGAUACUACGGCAGAACCAAAACACCCAACGCUUCCUCUUCUAAAAGCAGAACGGAUAAAAAUACUCGACUUCCACCGAUGAGUCCGUUGCAUGACUGAAUCAAAUAAGGAAGCGCCUCGCUCUGGAAACACUUUGUUAUUCUAGGCAUUGUGAAGCACAGCUAACUUUAGAGUCUGGCUCGGCAGGGAGGCCAACCUUGACCUUCUAACCUGCAUGGGUGCCGUGGAGAUGACCUCUCCUCUCUUAAAAGCAACUAUAAACUAGUUGUAAAGAUCACCAAGGAAAAGACUGGAUUCUCUGUCAAAACGGUGGCUAGAAAAGUGGUAGCAGGUACAUCACGAUCAAUCCGAUUCAUCGUUCCAGCUCUACAUGGACUCCUCACCUGUAGCCAGGUGGCAGCACAUUCCAGAAUGGGAACCCUGCCCAC